GCCUAACACAUGCAAGUCGAGCGGUAGAGAGAAGCUUGCUUCUCUUGAGAGCGGCGGACGGGUGAGUAAUACCUAGGAAUCUGCCUGAUAGUGGGGGAUAACGUUCGGAAACGGACGCUAAUACCGCAUACGUCCUACGGGAGAAAGCAGGGGACCUUCGGGCCUUGCGCUAUCAGAUGAGCCUAGGUCGGAUUAGCUAGUUGGUGAGGUAAUGGCUCACCAAGGCUACGAUCCGUAACUGGUCUGAGAGGAUGAUCAGUCACACUGGAACUGAGACACGGUCCAGACUCCUACGGGAGGCAGCAGUGGGGAAUAUUGGACAAUGGGCGAAAGCCUGAUCCAGCCAUGCCGCGUGUGUGAAGAAGGUCUUCGGAUUGUAAAGCACUUUAAGUUGGGAGGAAGGGCAGUUACCUAAUACGUGAUUGUCUUGACGUUACCGACAGAAUAAGCACCGGCUAACUCUGUGCCAGCAGCCGCGGUAAUACAGAGGGUGCAAGCGUUAAUCGGAAUUACUGGGCGUAAAGCGCGCGUAGGUGGUUUGUUAAGUUGAAUGUGAAAUCCCCGGGCUCAACCUGGGAACUGCAUCCAAAACUGGCAAGCUAGAGUAUGGUAGAGGGUAGUGGAAUUUCCUGUGUAGCGGUGAAAUGCGUAGAUAUAGGAAGGAACACCAGUGGCGAGGGCGACUACCUGGACUGAUACUGACACUGAGGUGCGAAAG
rnacentral:rRNA from 1 species